AUUGAACGCUGGCGGCAUGCCUUACACAUGCAAGUCGAACGGCAGCACGGGUGCUUGCACCUGGUGGCGAGUGGCGGACGGGUGAGUAAUACAUCGGAACAUGUCCUUUAGUGGUGGAUAGCCCGGCGAAAGCCGGAUUAAUACCGCAUACGACCUACGGAUGAAAGCGGGGGCCCUUCGGGCCUCGCGCCAUUGGGUUGGCCGAUGGCUGAUUAGCUCGUUGGUGGGGUAAAGGCCUACCAAGGCGACGAUCAGUAGCUGGUCUGAGAGGACGACCAGCCACACUGGAACUGAGACACGGCACAGACUCCUACGGGAGACAGCAGUGGGAAAUUUUGGACAAUGGGCGAAAGCCUGAUCCAGCAAUGCCGCGUGUGUGAAGAAGGCCUUCGGGUUGUGAAGCACUUUUGUCCGGAAAGAAAUCCUUGGCCCUAAUACGGUCGGGGGAUGACGGUACCGGAAGAAUAAGCACCGGCUAACUACGUG
rnacentral:rRNA from 1 species